UACGUAGGGACCAAGCGUUGUUCGGAUUUACUGGGCGUAAAGGGCGCGUAGGCGGCGCGGUAAGUCACUUGUGAAAUCUCUGAGCUUAACUCAGAACGGCCAAGUGAUACUGCAGUGCUAGAGUGUGGAAGGGGCAAUCGGAAUUCCCGGUGUAGUGGUGAAAUGCGUAGAUAUCGGGAGGAACACCAGUGGCGAAGGCGGCUUCCUGGCCUGUUCUUGACGCUGAGGCGCGAAAGCUAGGGGAGCAAACGGG
rnacentral:rRNA from 1 species